UACGGAGGAGGCAAGCGUUAUCCGGAAUUAUUGGGCGUAAAGCGUCCGUAGGUGGUUGGCCGAGUCUGCUGUCAAAGGGUGGGGCUUAACCUCAUACAGGCAGUGGAAACUGGCGAGCUAGAGUGCGGUAGGGGUAGGGGGAAUUCCCAGUGUAGCGGUGAAAUGCGUAUAGAUUGGGAAGAACAUCGGUGGCGAAAGCGCCCUGCUGGGCCUGCACUGACACUGAGGGACGAAAGCUAGGGGAGCGAAAGGG
rnacentral:rRNA from 1 species